CGCCAGACUCCUACGGGAGGCAGCAGUGGGGAAUAUUGGGCAAUGGGCGGAAGCCUGACCCAGCAACGCCGCGUGAAGGAAGAAGGCUUUCGGGUUGUAAACUUCUUUUCUCGGGGACGAACAGAUGACGGUACCUGAGGAAUAAGCCACGGCUAACUACGUGCCAGCAGCCGCGGUAAAACGUAGGGUGCAAGCGUUGUCCGGAAUUACUGGGUGUAAAGGGAGCGCAGGCGGAUUGACAAGUUGGGAGUGAAAACUACGGGCUCAACCCGUAACCUGCUUUCAAAACUGUCAGUCUUGAGUGGUGUAGAGGUAGGCGGAAUUCCCGGUGUAGCGGUGGAAUGCGUAGAUAUCGGGAGGAACACCAGUGGCGAAGGCGGCCUGCUGGACGGUGUACUGACGCUGAGGCUCGAAAGCGUGGGGAGCAAACAGGAUUAGAUACCCGUGUA
rnacentral:rRNA from 1 species